UUUUUUUUUUUUUUUCCAAUUAUGACAGGGGAAUGGGAGUUGUUGGUGAGCAGCCUGUAAUGCUUCCUAGGACUAGUUUUGAGUACUCUUCAGCAUGUCCCAUAAGCACACCGAAUGGUAGAAUGGAAGGUGACUUUGAGAUGAUACACGUUGAUAGAAUAGGCUCAUCAUCAUUUAACGUGGCUGUUGCUCCCUUCUCGCUCUCUCUGCUUGGAGAUGAUGAUGGUCAUUAUAUUUGAGAUAGAAGUGCAGCAUCAUCCUCGCAGAUGUGCCAGAUUGGCAUACAGAACAUUUAAAUACGCAAUUUUCUUUUUUAAGUGUAAAAUAUCUGGUACUUAGGAAUAAGUGCUUAGCAAAUGUUUGUACAUAACGUGUAUAUCACAGGCAGUUCAAAUACUACUGUGUUUGGAACCAACGCCGUACCUCUCAAAAAAAGGAGAAAAAAAGAAGUUCUUGUGUAAUUACUUCUGAGCAACCAGGAAUCUGGACUCUUGGUUGUUUAAUAAUGGAUGAAUGAAUAUGGGGGAUGCCAUUUGAAGAUUA